AGGGAUUGGUGACUGAAAUUAACUAAGAAUGGUAGAUUUUAUCAGCCUAACAACUCGGAAACAACUUGACGCAAGAACUACUAGAAACGAAGUUAACCGUCUCUAGUUGUGACUACUUGUGACUUGUGUAAUCUGGAAAAUUGAAUUUGGAUUGGAAAUUACUGGAAAAAAAAAUAAAAAUAAUGGCACAAAUAAAAAAUAAACUAAAGACUUGACGCAAGACUGUUGGACCAAGUGACACGAUUUUAGUUUCUUGACUUUGUUCGUGUGACUGUCGCAAUCUGGAAUUUAUUUUGGACUGAUUUAUCUUGAAACAGGUCUAGUUCAAUCCCCUUUUCCCAAUGGUUCAAGGAUUUCACAGCUGGUAUCAGAGUUAGUUGGUGAUUUUUCAGGUUAUAUCCCUUUCUUGUUUUGUGUUUUGUUAGUUGAUUCUUGUGUUUUGUUAUAUCAGCUGAUAUGAAUUCUGUUGAUGACGAAAUUCGCGACUAUGAACCCCAGAUCGAUGGUGAUAUUCACAUGUUUGAAUUGGGUAGAAUUUCCUAUUUCGGACCCUCUAAUCCUUGUGAUUGCGAACUUUCUUGACCCACAAUCAAAUGAACUAGCGAACUCUAGGAAUUUAUUAAAAGGCGUGACACAAUCAAGGAUGAUAUUCUUGAUUGUUAAGUUGAGUGAAUGCUAGACAAUUCUAACCGUUCAAGGAGGGCUCAUUGAACCAAGAGAGAGCACUCUCAAGAAACGAAGUUUCUGCCAAAGUAAGUUUAUUGAAGGAAAUUGAUGUCUUUUUAUAGGCUUAUAAGAUUCGACUCCUAAGGUAAUUAGAAUAAUGAAACUAAUCGGCUUACAACUUCCUAAAGUGGCCGAAUUGUAAUACUAGUCUUACCACACUAAGUAAUCGACUAACAUAAUUAACUACUAACCAACCAAGGAACCAAACAUCUAAACAAACUAGUAAACAACCACAAUACUAGCUGGAACAAUGCUCAACAUGGGC
rnacentral:lncRNA from 1 species